UAAAAAGCACACUUAAUAAGUUAACCGUUAUUACAUAUUAUUACUACUACUACUACAUAUCUAAUUGAUGAAAAUCCAAAUGUUAACUAUGCUCUUAAUAUUGGUGCUGGCCAACGACAUUGCCCGGUAGAGCGUAGCUAGAAAUAAUGUACCACCACCCAUUAUUGCACCGAACCCUAACAGGAUCGAUUUGCGCCAAACUACUUGAUGUUGAUCGAUCAUUGAUUUAUAUCUGAUCAACUUUAUUUUUUUAUAGUAGUAAAUUUCUUGAUGAGGUCUACAACAUGAAUGGUUUGGUUCAUUAAUACGAACCCUAAACGGGACUUAAAAUACUUGAACUGCGCGAUACAGUUCAGAAUUGAACCGUAAAGAAGUCCAAUCCAUAAAGAAUAUCAACAUAAUCAUGUUGACGUCCCCUUUGGCUAAAUUUGUCGAAUCGUUUUUCACAAUUUCUUCUAGAAUUAAUUGCGGUUAAAAAAGAUUUCAUUGCAUUUUCUUUGGCAUUUCAGGUCUUGAUGCCAUGUUUCACAGGUCUUUGGUAGGGUCUAAAGAAGACUGACUACCAAGAUAAACGUUGAGCUUGUUGUAUCCGACGUCGGCGUGCAUAAAAAAAAUGCUCUUUAUACCGGUAACAUUACUAAGAGGACAUGUGCAUGUCAUCUCAAAAAGAGCGACCCAAUUCGCACCUCAAUCUCUCUCACCCUCUCUGGAAAUUAAACGUUACAAACUUAUGGGCUUGCCCCACAACGUUGCAACUUGUAAUAUCGAAUUCCACGAAUUCCAAAUGUUCCCAAUUUUAGGCAACUGGAGAAUUGCCCAAUUGUUAGGAUUAACCCAGAUACGUGCAAGCUAGUCCCAACACCUGAUUAUAAAAAUAAAAAAAAAAACUAAAAAUCAACUUGUUUGGUAACUUGGUUGAAUAACCAAACAAGGAAAUAUUAAUGGAAAGACUAGUUAGAGAAUAUCAACUUGCUUGACCUUCUAUGUAUAUAAGAUUGAGGUGUGACCUGCCUAACAAACCUACUUUCCUUAAUCAAAACAGAAGACUAGUGGUUUAGGCAUGCGAUAGUAAACUAAAAAGGACUUGUUCAAGCAUAUCAACCAUGGGGUUCUAUUUUUCUAUAUAUAGAAUGUGUUAUUUUGCAAGAGCUUCUAUCUUACAAAUUGUGGAUUAUUGUAAUUAAUUUGUGUCUAUUUUUCACUCGAUCGUUACGGCUAUGUGCAUAUAGCUAGAAAGAAUAUACUACGAAAAGUUGGCUAAAAUUGAAUCUAAUUUAUUCGAACCUAUAAGUUAGGAAAAAAAUACUACUUUUCGUAUUCCACUUUUCUUUAAAAUACACUCCCUCUUCCGGUUACCAAUAGCUAAACACCCUUAUAACUAAUACCCUUCUAACAUAGUUUAAAAUGGCCCUUUUCUUGUCCCCCAGUUCUCCUCUCUCCCUUGCUCUCCGGCUCUCAAACGAAUUCAAGAUUUUUUUUCCAAGAAGGGAACCGAACCUGGCCAUAUAGAUAUCACUAGUCAUUAUAUUGUUGCGGUGUCAAUUUUGUAAAGUUUUUUUUAUAUAUAUAAAGUCCUAUUUGUAGCACCUGUAAUUUUUAUGAUGACAAAAUGAAAAACGAAAUUGAAUGUUAAAAUUGUUAGAUUUAAUAGUAGAGAGACGAAAUUGAGAAUCGAGUACAACUAGAGAGUCUAGAGAGUCGAUUUUUUUAAUUUUCCCUUACCAAACACAAACAAACAAACUUGAACUGGACUUAUGCACAUGAACAGUACAAAUUACGUUACUCAUACCCUUGAUAAAACCCCUUACAAGCACACAUUUUCCUCAUAGCGUUAAUACCCCUACUCACUAGCACACACAAUAAAAAGGUCACCAAAAUUGUAUGGGCGCUGCCCAACGAAAUUGCCAGGGGGAUCAUAGUUGCAAGUAAUGAACCAAAACCCACUAUUGCACAGAACCUGAGCGCACCCGAGCCGGACCGAGGUUUUCCACACAAUUUGAGUGUAGUGCCCACAAACCUUACCGGAGGCACAUGAAUUGGAGUUGUAGUCAUAGUAUGGCUUUUCUCCAGUCCAUAGGCCCACGGCCAUGGCCCCAGUGAAGUCGCCACUGCCUGCGGCGAUGUUCUCGCCGUACGUCCCGCCACCGUCGGAGUGGAUCAUAGCACAAUCGCCAGCCCUAUGGUUAGUGUAGUUUUGGGCGAAGGCAGCCACGUCGGGGUCCCAGGUCAUGGGCCCAACCCCAACUUGGGCACGAACGGUGUUGUGGGCAUUGAGGUAGUCUUGUGGGGAGUUUUGGGCUAGGGAGGAGUGAACCAUGGCUAGGAUUGCGAAACAAACAAGAGCUAAUGAUGAGUUCUUAGACAACCCCAUUUUUUCUCUCCAAGUUUUGUAGAAGAUU
rnacentral:lncRNA from 1 species